GACGAACGCUGGCGGCGUGCUUAACACAUGCAAGUCGAACGGAAAGGCCCUGCUUUUGUGGGGUGCUCGAGUGGCGAACGGGUGAGUAACACGUGAGUAACCUGCCCUUGACUUUGGGAUAACUUCAGGAAACUGGGGCUAAUACCGGAUAGGAGCUCCUGCUGCAUGGUGGGGGUUGGAAAGUUUCGGCGGUUGGGGAUGGACUCGCGGCUUAUCAGCUUGUUGGUGGGGUAGUGGCUUACCAAGGCUUUGACGGGUAGCCGGCCUGAGAGGGUGACCGGCCCCAUUGGGACUGAGAUACGGCCCAGACUCCUACGGGAGGCAGCAGUGGGGAAUAUUGCACAAUGGGCGGAAGCCUGAUGCAGAAACGCCGCGUGCGGGAUGACGGCCUUCGGGUUGUAAACCGCUUUCGCCUGUGACGAAGCGUGAGUGACGGUAAUGGGUAAAGAAGCACCGGCUAACUACGU
rnacentral:rRNA from 1 species